rnacentral:lncRNA from 1 species
UGGCAUUUGCCAAGGCAGAGUUCUCAGGUCUUUGUUCAGGCUUUGGUGGCAGCAGCUUCAAACUCCUUUGAAAGCCACAGGAGGGUCAAGUACAGCAGAGAUACAAGAGCAUGCAGUAAGAAGAAAAUUUCCUGCAUUCAUUUUCAUGUGAUUAAACAUUAAAAGCUGAUGUGAGACUCUCAUGGUAGAAGGUAUAGUACAAGCAAAAUGUUUUGGUUCAGAGGUGUUUGAUGUGGAAAUUAGAUAAAUUGAGAAACUUCGUUAGCUAUGUCCUUGGAGAUUAGUGUGUCUGAUUUUCAAUUAGUCCACCUAUGUUUACUAAGCAUUUACUACAUAUC